rnacentral:lncRNA from 13 species
UGCUUUUUUCCCUUAGGGUUGAAUUAACUUAAUCUUAUGAGUGGAUUGAUUUUAUUAGUACUAGAUUAACCUCUCUGUAUUUGUUCUUUAAAUCAUUUUCUUUUAAGUGUUUGUGAUCCCUUUUCUAGAAUAAUGUAAAUAGUUACGAUUGGUUAGGCAUUAAGCAUUUACUGAAUGUUUACUACUGGUAUACAUGACACAAUAACUACAGUCUAAUGGGAGUAGGCAUAUUUAAUGUUGUUUCCAAAAUCUAUUUUUAUGUAGUUCAUUUCUAUUAUUUAGUCUGUGUCAUUAUCUCUUCUAGGUGCUCUACAGGUAGGAAGUUAUUUAAUACUUUUAACCAGUUUAUAAGGUGAGUACUAUUUUCUAUAUUUUGCUGAUGAGAAAACUGUUCAGUUUGUACUAUGGCUGUUCAAUUUGUUCAGAUCAUAAUUUACAUUACCUGUGUGUCCACACAUGUGGUUGUAUGCUUACUAAAAUAAUUUUAAGAUUUGUAAUAUAGUUUCAAAACAUAAACAUUAUACUUGCAUACUAAAUAGUUACGAGUAAACGCCACUGUUGACUGAUCUUUUCUCAUUCAUAUAGUAUAACCUGUGUGUGUUUUGAGCUGCCAACAUCUUGAUAUUCUUUCUGAAGUGUUACUGUGUUAGUCCUUAGCAUUCAUUUUAAAGAAUACAAUAUUAUGUAAUUUCAAUAUACAGAAAAAUAUUAGCUUUUGGAAACAUUUCCACUUCUCACCAACAUGUCCACAGGAUCUUAAAGUAUGAUUAAGGAGAGAAGGAGAAGGCUGUUUGUUAUCAGUCAUGUUCCUGCUUUUGUCUUGGCCUUGCUUUCUUCUUAGCUUUAUCUGCAAUAUUUUUUUUUCUAGUAAGGGUGCUCACUUUCACUAACAAUAAGAGACUAUAUCUUAAAAGUAAUCAGAAGAGGGAAAUUUCAGGGAAAGAUGGCUGAAAGGAAGUUUCUCCAGAGUGCAGCCAUCACCGAAUGAGACAGAACCAGAGCAAUAUCCACGUCUCUGAGCAAGGGACAAUUAUGAAUCUGGAAACCAUCAUUCUCAGCAAACUGAUACAAGAACGGAAAACCAAACACCACAUAUUCUCACUCAUAGAAUGCUGGAAGAAUGAAAUUGACACAUGA